GAUGAACGCUGGCGGCGUGCUUAACACAUGCAAGUCGAACGAUGAAAGCGGGAGCUUGCUCCUGCUGGAUUAGUGGCGAACGGGUGAGUAACACGUGAGCAAUCUGCCCCGAACUCUGGGAUAAGCGUUGGAAACGACGUCUAAUACCGGAUACGACGCGCGAAGGCAUCUUCUGCGCGUGGAAAGAAUUUCGGUUCGGGAUGAGCUCGCGGCCUAUCAGCUAGUUGGUGAGGUAACGGCUCACCAAGGCGACGACGGGUAGCCGGCCUGAGGGGGUGACCGGCCACACUGGGACUGAGACACGGCCCAGACUCCUACGGGAGGCAGCAGUGGGGAAUAUUGCACAGUGGGCGAAAGCCUGAUGCAGCAACGCCGCGUGAGGGACGACGGCCUUCGGGUUGUAAACCUCUUUUAGUAGGGAAGAAGCGAAAGUGACGGUACCUGCAGAGAAAGCACCGGCUAACUACGUGCCAGCCGCCGCAGUAAUAC
rnacentral:rRNA from 1 species